UACAAUUUGUUGAGCAACUUUUAUCAGCAUUUAGAACUUAAAAGACAUGAUCAAAAAUCCUAGCUGUCCUUAAAUUCUACCUAACAAGUAUUUUGCAUUUGCAGGUUUCUACCACUUGCUUGAACCUUGAAAGCAUUUUAAUCCCAAAAGACACUGAGAAUGCUUGCUUGUCUUCAAGUGAAAUCGGUUGCUGUGCUCCAAGGGUACUGACCGGAAUUGAAGAUCAUGUUUACCAACCACUCUGUUUAUGUGUCUCUUGUUAGUGCAAUGCUUCAGGAAAGCUACGGGUGAAAUAUUGUGUAUGCAGUGCUUGAAAAUUCAGCCUGUUGGGCCAGGUUGCUCAAUUUCUUCCUGUGGUGGACUAUUGAUAGCAAAGUAAUAUUGCAGUACUUGCAAAUUUUAAAAUGAUAAAAGAACAAAGAUGUAAUUUAUGCAAUUCAGAAGGUCGCUGCUGCUUAUGACUGCAAAAUUGUUGAAUGUGUUUUUCUCCAUCAGCUGAAGCAGUUUGACAGGAACUACCACUUGAAGAUGAAAGCUCGAGGUUUAUUUUCAGUGAAAUAAAUCAGAAAUUUCCUCCCAUUCCACUCACAGCUAGGAGAUUAUGUUGCUCACAUCAAAUUCACAGUUUUGCUAAUGCCAAAUGGUUCGAAUAGAGUCGCAUCUCAUCCUCUGCAGGAGCUGCAGCCCAGAAAGACAACAGAUGAUCCUGAAAUCAAGGCCUUGCUAGCCUUGGGCACCAAGAAAAAGAAGAAAGGUAAAAAGGUUGACAAAGCUGAGGAGUCAACAUAAGCCGAGCCUAUGGAUCCAACAACAAAUGGGAUGGUGCAGGAUGAGGGAAACCGUAACAGUAGAGCAUCCUCUUCCAUUAUUCCCAUCAUUUCCUUGCCUUUCUCAUUUAUGCAUCGAUAAUUGCCCUAUGAUGUCUGUAGCACCAGGGAGCAAAACAAUACCCUCCUCUUCCUCUCCCUUUUCCAAUUUCUCCGGGAUUAGAGGAACUUGAAUAUCUACCACUAGAAUGGCUGCAAAAUCUCACUUCUCUUGGGACACUGAAGAUUUGUGGGUGUUGUAAAAUGCGAAUCUCUUUGUCUCCACUCUUUCAACAUCUCACCUCAUUUGAAAAUCUGUCUAUUCUUCACUGCAAAGAAUGUAUCAGCAAUGAGAAUGAAGAUGGCACAGGAUGCCUUGGGCCUUCAAGAUUUGGUCAUCUAUCUAUAAUAGAUGUUCCAAAUUUGGUUUCUCUCCCAAGAGAGCUUAGAGAUGUUACUAGUCUGCAAGGGCUUCAAAUUAUGGAUUGCCCUAGUUUGGUGUCUUUACCGGAGUGGAUAGGCGAUCUCCUUCACUUCAGGAGCUUGGAGUCGCAAAUUGUUUGAAUUUAAUAUCACUGCCCGAAGGUGUGCGCCGCCUCACCUCUUUACAUCGUUUGACAAUUGCGGAGUGUCCUCGAUUGGAUUUGGAGGAAAGCCGUGAACAAAGAAUGGGAGAGGAUUGGCCAAGGAUUGCUCACGUCCCAAACUUUCGAAAUGGCGGAGAUGGUAAUCGUAUAGAGUGGAACGCAAGCCAAACUUGCCAAAUUUAUCAGGAAGAAGUGAAUGUUUUACGUGUAGACGCUUCUUCAAACCUUGCUGACAAUCAGAUUUGCUGAGAGGAAUGAGCUUCGUGAUGACAAGCAUAGGCUCAAGGCGGGCAAAGAGAAGUUGGAGGAGCAAGUGAAAGCAAUGAGUGCUCAACCAGGCUCCCUGCCUCAUCCCUCUGCAAUGUUGGGUACAUUUUCUGCUCAAGCUGAUGCCUUUAAUUGGUUGUCCCAACAUGGCAAUUCAUGACAUCUGCUGUAGUUGACACAUCACAGGAUCAUGUAUUACGCCGUCCAGUUGCUUAAAAUUGAACACACCCAGGGUUUUGGUUCAUGUUACUUGUAAGGCAAGGGUGUUUCUUUUGUAUGUUUUUUAUUUGAUUGUUUUCAACUAUUUCUAUGUUGGUACCUUAGGGUCAGAGAUGUAAAGAGGUGCAACAUCUAUGUCUAGACAGUAUAGUGACUGGAACUUCUUGUGGAUUUCUUCUCAUCUCGUGUACAAUUAUAUAAGC